rnacentral:tRNA from 1 species
UCCCUGGUGGCUCAGAGGGUAAAGCGUCUGCCUGCCACGCGAGAGACCCAGGUUCGAUCCCUGGGUUGGGAA